ACUUAGUGAUCCGGUGGUUCUGCGUGGAAGGGCCAUCGCUCAACGGAUAAAAGCUACCCUGGGGAUAACAGGCUUAUCUCCCCCAAGAGUCCACAUCGACGGGGAGGUUUGGCACCUCGAUGUCGGCCCAUCACAUCCUGGGGCUGUAGUAGGUCCCAAGGGUUGGGCUGUUCGCCCAUUAAAGUGGUACGCGAGCUGGGUUCAGAACGUCGUGAGACAGUUCGGUCCCUAUCCGUCGCAGGCGUAGGAAAUUUG
rnacentral:rRNA from 1 species